rnacentral:rRNA from 1 species
AAGUCGGGCCUGCCCACUGAGUAAUUAUAGGGCCGCAGUAAUUAGACCGUGCAACGGUAGAAUAAUAAUUAGUCUCUUAAUUAGGGAAUGGAAUGAAGGAUUAAACCAAGUAUUAAAUAUCUUUAUUAAAUAUAUAAAAUUAAUUUUUAAAGUGAAAAUUCUAAGAUUGUUCUAUUGGACGAUAAGACCCUAUAGAUCUUUAUAUAAUUGUAAAUUACUUUUAUUUAAUGACAAGAUUUUUAAAUUAUACGAAUAUAUUAUGGUUGGGGCACUUGGAGAUAAAAAGAACUUCUUUCAUAUAUUAUCAAAUAUUUAUGGAUACAAAAUCUUAUAUCUUAAAUUUAAAAGAAAAGUUACCAAAGGGAUUACAGCGUUUAUUUUGCAGAGCCCUUAUAGAUAUAAUACAUUGCGACCUCUUUGUUGAAUUAAAAGAACCUUUAGGGGCAGUAAUUUGCUAUAUAAGUCUGUUCGACUUUAUAAUUCUUAC